rnacentral:rRNA from 1 species
UACAGAGGGUGCGAGCGUUAAUCGGAAUUACUGGGCGUAAAGCGUGCGUAGACGGCUAUCUAAGUCGGGUGUGAAAGCCCCGGGCUCAACCUGGGAAUUGCAUUCGAGACUGAAUAGCUAGGGUGCGGUAGAGGGAAGCGGAAUUUCCGGUGUAGCGGUGAAAUGCGUAGAUAUUGGGAGGAACAUCGGUGGCGAAGGCGGCUACCUGGACGGGUACUGACGCUGAUGCGCGAAAGCUAGGGGAGCAAACAGG